rnacentral:rRNA from 1 species
GACGAACGCUGGCGGCGUGCUUAACACAUGCAAGUCGAACGGAAAGGCCCUGCUUUUGUGGGGUGCUCGAGUGGCGAACGGGUGAGUAACACGUGAGUAACCUGCCCUUGACUUUGGGAUAACUUCAGGAAACUGGGGCUAAUACCGGAUAGGAGCUCCUGCUGCAUGGCGGGGGUUGGAAAGUUUCGGCGGUUGGGGAUGGACUCGCGGCUUAUCAGCUUGUUGGUGGGGUAGUGGCUUACCAAGGCUUUGACGGGUAGCCGGCCUGAGAGGGUGACCGGCCACAUUGGGACUGAGAUACGGCCAAGACUCCUACGGGAGGCAGCAGUGGGGAAUAUUGCACAAUGGGCGGAAGCCUGAUGCAGCAACGCCGCGUGCGGGAUGACGGCCUUCGGGUUGUAAACCGCUUUCGCCUGUGACGAAGCGUGAGUGACGGUAAUGGGUAAAGAAGCACCGGCUAACUACGUG